AGCUUGCUCUAACUACCUGCAUAUCAAAACGGCCAUGACAGCUUUUCGGCCACCAGGUGGUGCUUUCAUUCAUUACUGUGGCGACAACAGGAAGCAUAUAAAGAGGACGAACCUUGCCAAACUCCCCCGUCCACGAGUCUGAAAUGUGUCAUAAGGAUACACUACACCUUGGUCAGGUGGUGUGCCCACAGAGUCACUGGAGCACAAACAAGAUGGUGAUAACCGGCCUACAACCAACAGCCAAAAAGGCCCUUGGUCACUGGACCUACAUGGGAUAAGAUUGCAUGACCAGAUAAGUCAACCGUGGCACAUUCAUCUGGUGGCUGAUGUCAGCUUCAGAGUGUUUAAAGUU